rnacentral:snRNA from 1 species
AGUGGCCUUGCUGCCACGAU